CCCUUAGAUGUUCUGGGCUGCACGCGCGCUACACUGAUGCACUCAACGAGUUUACGACCUUGCCCGAUAGGGUUGGGUAAUCUUUUUAAAAUGCAUCGUGAUGGGGAUAGAUUAUUGCAAUUAUUAAUCUUCAACGAGGAAUUCCUAGUAAGCGCGAGUCAUCAGCUCGUGCUGAUUACGUCCCUGCCCUUUGUACACACCGCCCGUCGCUCCUACCGAUUGAAUGGUCCGGUGAAGCGUUCGGACCGUGGCCUUUGGACGGUUCGCCGUCUGUUGGCUGCGGGAAGUUCGUUAAACCUUAUCAUUUAGAGGAAGGAGAAGUCGUAACA
rnacentral:rRNA from 1 species